CGGAGGAAAAGAAACCAACAGGGAUUGCCUCAGUAACGGCGAGUGAAGCGGCAAGAGCUCAAAUUUGAAAUCUAGUACCUUCGGUGCUCGAGUUGUAAUUUGAAGGUAGUUUUCUGGUGCUGGCCCUUGUCUAUGUUCCUUGGAACAGGACGUCAUAGAGGGUGAGAAUCCCGUCUGAUGGGGUGUCCAGUGCUUUGUAGAUUUCUACCGAAGAGUCGAGUUGUUUGGGAAUGCAGCUCUAAGUGGGUGGUAAAUUCCAUCUAAAGCUAAAUAUUGGCGAGAGACCGAUAGCGAACAAGUACAGUGAUGGAAAGAUGAAAAGAACUUUGAAAAGAGAGUGAAAAAGUACGUGAAAUUGUUGAAAGGGAAGGGUAUUGGAUCAGACUUGGUGUUUUGUGAUUAUCUUCCCUUCUUGGGUUGUGCACUCGCAUUUCACUGGGCCAGCAUCGAUUCGGAUGGUAAGAUAAUGGCUUGAGAACGUGGCACUCUUCGGGGUGUGUUAUAGCUCUUGUUGAUGUUGCCUAUCUGGAUCGAGGACUGCGGCUUUUGCCUAGGAUGCUGGCGUAAUGAUUCAAUACCGCCCGUCUU
rnacentral:rRNA from 1 species